rnacentral:rRNA from 1 species
UACGGAGGGAGCUAGCGUUGUUCGGAAUUACUGGGCGUAAAGCGCACGUAGGCGGCUUUGUAAGUUAGAGGUGAAAGCCCGGGGCUCAACCCCGGAAUUGCCUUUAAGACUGCAUCGCUUGAAUCCGGGAGAGGUGAGUGGAAUUCCGAGUGUAGAGGUGAAAUUCGUAGAUAUUCGCAAGAACACCAGUGGCGAAGGCGGCUCACUGGCCCGGAACUGACGCUGAGGUGCGAAAGCGUGGGGAGCAAACAGG